rnacentral:rRNA from 1 species
UACGUAUGGUGCGAGCGUUACUCGGAAUUACUGGGCGUAAAGCGUGCGUAGGCGGUUCGUUAAGUUCGUUGUGAAAGCCCCGGGCUCAACCUGGGAAUGGCAAUGGAAACUGGCGGGCUGGAGUAUGGCAGAGGGGGGUGGAAUUCCGCGUGUAGCAGUGAAAUGCGUAGAGAUGCGGAGGAACACCGAUGGCGAAGGCAGCCCCCUGGGCCAAUACUGACGCUCAGGCACGAAAGCGUGGGGAGCAAACAGG